rnacentral:lncRNA from 1 species
UUUUUUUUUUUUUUUUUUUUUUUUAAAUUUAACGACCGCAUCGAAAUUCGAGGGCGAUCCGGCGAUGUCGUGUCGCAUUUUUUCGAAUGUGUGAGGCCUGUACAAUAUCGAGGAUAUUUCCGAAAAUUACUAUAGCGUGUACUGUAAUAUUAUUAACACUAGAGUAGAGAAGUUCUUUCGAAAAAAUUGAACUGGUAGGGAGUGUGAAGAGAGUACAAACUGAAGACACAAUAAACUGCGCGCGCGAGUGGUGCGAUAGUCGAGGGAAGUCGGGGGAAGGAUUAAGAGGUACUUAUAUACACGCGGUAAUAAAAUGGUAAAUUCGUUUUUUUUGUGUAAAUAUACAUAUAGGGUGCUCCGUGGUGUACAUACAGCGCGCCGAGACUACGCGGCGCGUGUCGCUUUUAAAGAUAUUUUUGACGGUCGACUUGAUCCAUUGUAUAGAUCACACGAUUCAAUCAUGUAGUAAAAAAAAAGAAAAUAUACAUACGUGUGUAUAAUAUAUAGUAUUUUUUCAUGAGGGUCGCGACGGAACGACGACGAGUCGACCAGGUUUAUUAAAAAAAAAAAAAGAGGGGAAGGGAGGGGGGGGGAAAUCUUAAUCCGCGAUCAGCAAAUUUCCAGUGGACGAUUGCUGAAUGUCUGUAGACAAUGGCGGACGUAAUCAGGCCUUAUCGAGAACCUCUUGACGGAGCGUUAGCCCUAAGAACACCGAGAGAUCGGCGAGACAGCUCGCUCGCACUCAGUUUUCUCCGUUUCUUGACUUUUGUCGCGAGAAAAAUAUUACAGAGUAAAUAUCGUCUUAUUAUUUUCUAUCUAGAGAUACACGUCUUUAAAAUACAUGCACGAUACGUAUGUUUUAGAAGUGUAUAGUGGCGGAUUUGCAUACGGUCGAUACCACGGCUACGUGUCGUACCGAGUAACUACCCUUCCGCCGUAACUAUAGUCGUUGGAUAAAAAUAAAAAGGGUCCUGAAACAGCAGCUGUGCAAAGUGGCUGCUCUCCGGCGAGAGCAGUGUAACCGAUAAGGAGCUCGGUGUUCUCGGAGGUCUAAGCGUGGAUGAUGGUGGUGAAUUAUACGGUACCUUUCUCCGCGCAAAGAACGCGCGGACGACGAGUCGCAAUCCCUUUACACGCUUGUAGUAAUAACUAUAGCGCCGGUAUAAUAUUUUAUUAUCGUUAAUAAAUCGCGACGACGUAUAGCACCACGCGAAAUACAUACAUAGGUAUAUACACAUGUGUGUGUGUGUGUGUGUGUGUGUGUGUGUGUGUGUUUGCGUGCGUGCGUGUGCGUGUGCGUGUGCGCGCAUGUAUUUCGUAUGGUGUUACGCACACCCGUUAUAUAUUCUGGAUAUUAUAUAUUUUUACUGUGUAAUUAUAAUAAAUUGCUAUACAAUUACUAAUUCAAUCACGAGCGCGUAAUUCACCUAUACAAAUUAACAAUUAACGGGUCAACAUUCGAUCCAUUUGAAAUUGCCAUGAAAAUGGAAAUUCUGUCCAUCAGCUGGUCUGGCUCUUCGACGUGCCGCAUUUGGGCCACCGCUGCAUCCGCGGGCGUUAUAAGAUUAACGUUCGCCAUUCGUGGUUUUUGUAAAUAUGUACCUAGAAAGAGAGAGAACGAGCGAGCGAGAGAGAGAGAGAGAGAGAGAGAGAGAGAAAUAGAGAGAAAGAGAAAAAAAAAAGAGAGGGAAUUUAGACGAAAUGUCGAUGUCUUUGAUGUUCGAUCAUUCUUUCUAUAUGAGAUGUGAGAUUAAUUCGUCGAGAAAAUCCUCCGCGCCUCCGUGUAUCUUUCAAGAGAUGAGGAGCAAGUUAAGAGCAUUUAUUAAUACUAAUAAAUCUCUAAAUAUCGAUAUUCCGCGUCCUUUUUAUCUCGAGUUUUGCGUGGAAUCAAACAGUGAUGGGAAUCCAAAACGUUUUCGAAAAAUGUUGUCAACAAUAAAAAUAUAAUACGCAUAUUGAAAAUCUUGAGAAUCUUAAUUAGAUUUCCUAUUUAAAAUAUAGAAAAAUGCAAUUAAGUGCAUAUAAAUAACAGUAUAAUCGUUAAAACAUGUUUCAAUUUCGCGAUGAUGUCCCCGAAUGAGUCGUAAAAUUUUGAUUUGCAAAUUACGAUGUACAAUCCAUGCUUCUUUAAUUUUCAAUUUUUCAAUUGUUUUUUUUUUUUUUUAAACGUCGAACAUCUGAAUUUUAAUGAUGCACAAAUGUCCGAAUAUACAUCCUUUCUUUUUUUUAAUAUUUUUUUUCGCGAAAAUGCCUUCACUAAAGCUUUUCCUUCGGUAAAUACGUGCAAAGGAAUUUCGCUCCGCUUUAUUCAUACGACUCAAUUAUCGCUCGAACUUCCCGGCCAAGGUUGCAAGAACAGAGAGCGCAUCCGUUCCGAGCAGGUCUGAUUUAUCUGGCACGUAGCAGGCCAAAGUUUGCGCACACACGUCCCGCACCCGUAAACGAACUUCCAGAUUAAAGUCUUUUCGUUCAUGUUCUACCAAUCAAUAGAUAGUAGGCGGUAAGUAUUCCGACAAUUCUCCUCGAUUUCAUAUCCUCCCGAUAAAUACGCGAUUAAUUGAAUUCCCAUCACUGGCUAGUCGUCCAGCAGCGGCAGCGGCAGCAGCAGCAGCAGCACCUUGUACAAACACGAAUUUUACGAUAGAAAAGGAAAGGCGAAUGAAUUUUUUAAUAACACGCCACGCGUAAAACAAAGCGAGUCGAUUCGGAGGUGGUUUUAUUUCUAGCGCGCGCGCGCGCGCGCGCACAAGAGGAAGACAAAAAUGCGGUAUUUUAGAUUUAGUAGAAAAAAAAAAUCGAGAUUGAUUAUAUUUUAGUAACGCGUUUGAUAUCCGACGAAAAAUAUUUCGAAUGACACGUGCAAAAAUUUCGGAGGAGAUGCGAGAGAGAGAGAGAGAGAGAGAGAGAGAGAGAGAGAGAGAGAGAGAGAGAGAGAGAGAGAAGAGACAGAUGUGAGGAAAAAACGUCGCUUCUCCUUCUAUCUUGUACUUUCAGAAACGUGCCUGUAUGUGGGCGGUUUAAUAGUCGCUAAGACGAAAGGUGUCGAGAUAAGAAUUUAGGACGCGAGAUCUACUUUCUAUUUGUAUGCUUCUAGAGACGAGAGGCACGUAGCCACCCGUGUACCGAUUGUCUUUAAUGUUAAUGACAGAUUAAUUCGUUCGCAGCUGAUUAGUUCACUCGCUAUCCCGAAGUUAUGAUUGAUAUCGCGAGCUAAUACGACGCACAUGAGAUACAAAUACACACAAACACACACACACACACACACACACAACAUAUACACACAGAUCUGUACAUACACCUGUACGAUUAAUUAAGUAUGAGGUUUUAGAGAAAUUAAGUCAAAUCUGACCGGCGAGAACUUGGUUACGAGUGCGUAAUGUCACGCGCAGACACACUCUCUUCUUUAUUUUUGUCAUGUCGAUACUUGGCCGAUAAUAAAAAUGCAUACUAGAC